rnacentral:rRNA from 1 species
AUGUCCAGGUGCCGCAGUACCGGCAGCGAAGCUGAAGGCCCCAGUGCGGGAGGAAGCAGGCGGGUGCUCGGCGACAUCGGCAACAUCGUCCCUGUCCACGUCCUCGAGGGCAAUAUCCAGCUACCGGCGGGGAUCACUCCAAUCACCAGGAGCUUCAGCGCUGAGCUCUAA